rnacentral:lncRNA from 1 species
AUGCAGGCGAAGGAGGAAGACAUGCUGAAACCACUCUACUCUGGACUCGCGGCGAGCAUUUACAUUGAGUUAACAAGGCUGUCCAGAGGUCCAAUUCCUGACGUCAUCAAAGCCCAAGAUAUGUUUUGGAAGGACUACUACAAUACUAAUGGAUGCAAGUACGGCGAUUUCGAGAAGCGAGCACACGAGCUCCUCGAAAAAGACAUGUGUGCAACCGGCGGGAAGAUAGACGUCAUGAUGGUCGUCGAUGGAAGCGCGAGUAUAGGCCAGCCCGCUUUUCAGACAGCCCUCGAUUCCUUGGCACGCCUGGUGGGUAUCUUCGACCUUGAGGAGGCCAACGUCGGCAUGGUCACCUACUCGAAUACAGUGACCAGUCUGAUUCCGCUGGUGAACAAUUUCACCACGGCCAGACUCCAGGAGGCUAUUCAACAGACGCUGUAUCCGGAUGCAGGGACGAAUACUUACCUUGGUAUGAUGGCAGCCAUUGAUGAAUUUAAGAAAUUACCAGAGAAUCGAGGAGAGAGAGGUGUUCCAAGACUUUUGGUCGUCUUAACCGAUGGAAAUCACUUGACAGGACCCAAACCAGGCAUUGCAGCUCAGAAGGCUGCCAAAGCAGGUAUCAUAACAUGUGCUUUCGGAAUCGGCAAUGAUAUUGACGACUCGGAGCUCCUGGAAAUUGCGAAUAAUAAAUCCGAUUACAAGUUCAGGACAGACUCGUAUUACUCGCUGCAACAGCAGAUAGUUCUCAUCGCUCGGCGGGUGAAGACCAUUCCGCAGACGCUCAAGAUGGGAUUUGAAACGAGCGACACGCUCAAGGAGGCCGACGAGAAGAGGUACUAUCGACUGGAGGUACUAGAGAGCGGUGCGACGAUCAGACUGGUCAACGAAAGGGGUGAAUCCCGUGGCUACUGGACUUACGCUGACGAGCGACCGUCCGGCGCACUUCAUGAUGGGGUUAUAUACGGAGGAGAGACGUUUAUUCCACCACCGCAACUGGUUCCUGGAAAUAGGGGAGACACUGUCAAAACAGCCUCGAUGAGGGAUUUGAAAAUUGCGAUAGAGAGCUAUGAGGCAGACAGCAGGCUGAGGAUGUGGAUUCUUGAGGGAGAUGCCACCGAAUCCUCGGCUGUCAAACUUGACUUUGCAUGUUUUGUGCAUGUCGCUGUCUAUAUUUUCGCUGCUGUUCUUUUGAAAUAAAUGAUCCUCGUAAUGCAAUGAGGAGACGAUUCGUCGUAAAAUAUAAUUGGAGUGGAUGAGCGAUUUAAUUGAUACAUUCGAACAUGUUUCUGCUUGAAUGGGUUAUCUCCAAAAAAAUUUAAUUUAAAAGAGGGGAGGGGCUUAAAGGACAAGGUGCAUAAUUGCAGUUUUUGAAAAAAUUGAGACAUUAAAGAUUUCAAGUAAAACUAGUCAUAAUGCAAAAUUCGUAUCCAAAUUCCAAUUUUUAAGCAUGAAAAGGUCAGUUUGAACUUUUUGUCCGCCACAAGGAUCCAUGUAAUUUCGAAACCUCAAACAUGUAUUUAUCGAAAUAGCAAAAACUGAACUUAUUCGCCUUGUCCUCCAAGCCCCUCAAAUCUACCUUCAAUGAAAGCUCAUAAAUACUAUGCGCAUAGUUCUUUUUUAUUUGAUGCUCAUGUAUGUAGUUCCUUUUAAGAUAAUCAUACAACUGCUCUCGCAGGGAAGCCCCUUAAUAAGAAAAAACUUUUGAUUUCCUAUUCAUAAAUUAUAGUUUAUGACCAUUAUAGCUAUCUAAUAACUUAAAUUUGUUUUAAUUGUGAUAAUUAUGAGAGCAUGCGUGAGAAAUCAUGUAAAUUAACUGUAAAAUGGAUAGCGAAACUAGCCUACUGACUAAAAAGCGCAACAAAUGUAUCGCCAUUAUUUUAAGGGGUAUCGCAAAUAGACGAAACAAGUUAAGCUUUUACUUUCUGAGUACAUUGGCUGAAUAAUCAGCUCAAGCGUUCGAUUUUAUCGGUUAACAAACCCUGAUCUAAGCUUUACAUGUCUAAAAUAUCUUAAUUUUAUAAAAAAAAUGUCUUUUGAUGCCUCUUUUUUCAGCGCUAGGUUAUAGUUAUAUACCGUCAAUAAUUCCAUUAAGUGUUCUGUAACCCUGUCAUUAAGUUAAGUUAACGAACUUUUAGACUGUGAUACAAAAUCUGACAUCUCGUAUCUUGCAUUUACUCUACAUGUAAAAGUAGCGUCGGCCGAUCCUCUGUCGAAGUCUACCUAUUUGACGUGGACUUAACGUAGGUAUGCGUCACACCGAAAAAAAGAGGAGUUCAUCCAAUCGCCCUGGGACCUGACUCAACAUCCUAAGGCGGUUGAAAAAUUGGACCCUAACCUGUUGUUUGUAUCAACAGCAUGCUGAAACGUAAAUUCAGUACCCUUUGGUCUGUUGGACUAAUGCUCGAGGCCGCUAAGCCAACUGCCCCAGGCGGUAAAUAUUACCGCCUCGAGCCGCUGACGCAAUAGCUAGGGUAUUGGAUUCUAUGUCUAACAGGCGGUAAAAUCUACCGCCCUGACUGUUAGCCCGGCACUUCUGAGCCAUUGCAAAAAAAGGCUUUUAAUUAAGGGAUAAUUUAAUUUUCUAUUUGUCUUUCAUGUUUAUGAUUAUUAUUUAAAUUGGGAACAUCCUUACCUCCACCAGGCCUACUCUACCGUAGAUGAUUCAAUCAUCCAGCACCCUUUAAAUUCUUCUGUCCGUGGCGGGAUUCGAACGCGCAACCUUCGGAUCACUGCCGUGCGCCGCCUUUACCGUUUGAGCUAGCCAGGCUACCUGUCGGGUGCUUCACUUUUCACACAUUAUAUAGCUUCUCCUAUAGUAGUUCACUAUCUCAAUAGAAUUGCCUAGUGAUCUUCUUGCGCGCUGCGCUAUAAGAUUAGUUUGGCCCAUGAAAUAAUUUUUCUCUCUUUAUGUCUCUCCCUCCUUUUAUUUAAUUUCAACUUAUUGAAAAAAUAUUUUAUUUAUAUUUUAGCCUGAGAAAUUAUUUUAAGACAGUAGCAGCAAUUUCUUGCGAAGUUUUGUUGGAUGACUCAAAAAAAGGAGGAGGAGAAAAAAAAACAAAGUGAACAAAAAAUUUUCAUGAGUUAUCAAUAAAUUUAGGUAAGUAGAUAGUAACACUUCCAUGUUU